rnacentral:rRNA from 1 species
AGGACGAACGCUGGCGGCGUGCUUAACACAUGCAAGUCGAGCGAUGAAGUCGUCUCGGGGACGGAUUAGCGGCGGACGGGUGAGUAACACGUGGGUAACCUGCCUCAUAGAGGGGAAUAGCCUUCCGAAAGGAAGAUUAAUACCGCAUAAGAUUGAGUUUCGCAUGAAACAGCAAUUAAAGGAGUAAUCCGCUAUGAGAUGGACCCGCGUCGCAUUAGCUAGUUGGUGAGGUAACGGCUCACCAAGGCGACGAUGCGUAGCCGACCUGAGAGGGUGAUCGGCCACAUUGGGACUGAGACACGGCCCAGACUCCUACGGGAGGCAGCAGUGGGGAAUAUUGCACAAUGGGGGAAACCCUGAUGCAGCAAACGCCGCGUGAGUGAUGACGGUCUUCGGAUUGUAAAGCUCUGUCUUCAGGGACGAUAAUGACGGUACCUGAGGAGGAAGCCACGGCUAACUACGUGCCAGCCGCAGC